UCAUUUAGAGGAAGUAAAAGUCGUAACAAGGUCUCCGUAGGUGAACCUGCGGAGGGAUCAUUACACAAAUAUGAAGGCGGGCUGGAACCUCUCGGGGUUACAGCCUUGCUGAAUUAUUCACCCUUGUCUUUUGCGUACUUCUUGUUUCCUUGGUGGGUUCGCCCACCACUAGGACAAACAUAAACCUUUUGUAAUUGCAAUCAGCGUCAGUAACAAAUUAAUAAUUACAACUUUCAACAACGGAUCUCUUGGUUCUGGCAUCGAUGAAGAACGCAGCGAAAUGCGAUAAGUAGUGUGAAUUGCAGAAUUCAGUGAAUCAUCGAAUCUUUGAACGCACAUUGCGCCCUUUGGUAUUCCAAAGGGCAUGCCUGUUCGAGCGUCAUUUGUACCCUCAAGCUUUGCUUGGUGUUGGGCGUCUUGUCUCUAGCUUUGCUGGAGACUCGCCUUAAAGUAAUUGGCAGCCGGCCUACUGGUUUCGGAGCGCAGCACAAGUCGCACUCUCUAUCAGCAAAGGUCUAGCAUCCAUUAAGCCUUUUUUUCAACUUUUGACCUCGGAUCAGGUAGGGAUACCCGCUGAACUUAAGCAUAUCAAUAAGCGGAGGA
rnacentral:rRNA from 2 species